AGGCUUAACACAUGCAAGUCGAGGGGCAUCAGGAAGACUUCUUGCUUUCUUUGCUGGCGACCGGCGCACGGGUGAGUAACACGUAUCCAACCUGCCCUUUACUCGGGGAUAGCCUUUCGAAAGAAAGAUUAAUACCCGAUAGCAUAAUGAUUCCGCAUGGUUUCAUUAUUAAAGGAUUCCGGUAAAGGAUGGGGAUGCGUUCCAUUAGGUUGUUGGUGAGGUAACGGCCCACCAAGCCUUCGAUGGAUAGGGGUUCUGAGAGGAAGGUCCCCCACAUUGGAACUGAGACACGGUCCAAACUCCUACGGGAGGCAGCAGUGAGGAAUAUUGGUCAAUGGGCGCUAGCCUGAACCAGCCAAGUAGCGUGAAGGAUGAAGGCUCUAUGGGUCGUAAACUUCUUUUAUAUAAGAAUAAAGUGCAGUAUGUAUACUGUUUUGUAUGUAUUAUAUGAAUAAGGAUCGGCUAACUCCGUGCCAGCAGCCGCGGUAAUACGGAGGAUCCGAGCGUUAUCCGGAUUUAUUGGGUUUAAAGGGAGCGUAGGUGGACUGGUAAGUCAGUUGUGAAAGUUUGCGGCUCAACCGUAAAAUUGCAGUUGAUACUGUCAGUCUUGAGUACAGUAGAGGUGGGCGGAAUUCGUGGUGUAGCGGUGAAAUGCUUAGAUAUCACGAAGAACUCCGAUUGCGAAGGCAGCUCACUGGACUGCAACUGACACUGAUGCUCGAAAGUGUGGGUAUCAAACAGGAUUAGAUACCCUGGUAGUCCACACAGUAAACGAUGAAUACUCGCUGUUUGCGAUAUACAGUAAGCGGCCAAGCGAAAGCAUUAAGUAUUCCACCUGGGGAGUACGCCGGCAACGGUGAAACUCAAAGGAAUUGACGGGGGCCCGCACAAGCGGAGGAACAUGUGGUUUAAUUCGAUGAUACGCGAGGAACCUUACCCGGGCUUAAAUUGCAGUGGAAUGAUGUGGAAACAUGUCAGUGAGCAAUCACCGCUGUGAAGGUGCUGCAUGGUUGUCGUCAGCUCGUGCCGUGAGGUGUCGGCUUAAGUGCCAUAACGAGCGCAACCCUUAUCUUUAGUUACUAACAGGUUAUGCUGAGGACUCUAGAGAGACUGCCGUCGUAAGAUGUGAGGAAGGUGGGGAUGACGUCAAAUCAGCACGGCCCUUACGUCCGGGGCUACACACGUGUUACAAUGGGGGGUACAGAAGGCAGCUAGCGGGUGACAGGAUGCUAAUCCCAAAAACCUCUCUCAGUUCGGAUCGAAGUCUGCAACCCGACUUCGUGAAGCUGGAUUCGCUAGUAAUCGCGCAUCAGCCAUGGCGCGGUGAAUACGUUCCCGGGCCUUGUACACACCGCCCGUCAAGCCAUGAAAGCCGGGGGUACCUGAAGUACGUAACCGCAAGGAGCGUCCUAGGGUAAAACUGGUAAUUGG
rnacentral:rRNA from 1 species